rnacentral:rRNA from 1 species
UGCCAGCCGCCGCGGUAAGACAGAGGGUGCAAACGUUGCUCGGAAUUACUGGGCGUAAAGCGCACGUAGGCGGAUUCGCAAGUCAGAUGUGAAAUCCCCGGGCUCAACCUGGGAACUGCAUUUGAAACUGCGGAUCUAGAGUGGUGGAGAGGGAAGCGGAAUUCCCGGUGUAGAGGUGAAAUUCGUAGAUAUCGGGAGGAAUACCGGUGGCGAAGGCGACCACCUGGCCAGAUACUGACGCUGAGGUGCGAAGGCGUGGGUAGCGAACGGGAUUAGAUA